GGAUGGACCUGCGGUGCAUUAGCUAGUUGGUAAGGUAACGGCUUACCAAGGCAAUGAUGCAUAGCCGAGUUGAGAGACUGAUCGGCCACAUUGGGACUGAGACACGGCCCAAACUCCUACGGGAGGCAGCAGUAGGGAAUCUUCCACAAUGGACGCAAGUCUGAUGGAGCAACGCCGCGUGAGUGAAGAAGGGUUUCGGCUCGUAAAGCUCUGUUGGUAGUGAAGAAAGAUAGAGGUAGUAACUGGCCUUUAUUUGACGGUAAUUACCUAGAAAGUCACGGCUAACUACGUGCCAGCAGCCGCGGUAAUACGUAGGUGGCAAGCGUUGUCCGGAUUUAUUGGGCGUAAAGCGAGUGCAGGCGGUUCAAUAAGUCUGAUGUGAAAGCCUUCGGCUCAACCGGAGAAUUGCAUCAGAAACUGUUGAACUUGAGUGCAGAAGAGGAGAGUGGAACUCCAUGUGUAGCGGUGGAAUGCGUAGAUAUAUGGAAGAACACCAGUGGCGAAGGCGGCUCUCUGGUCUGCAACUGACGCUGAGGCUCGAAAGCAUGGGUAGCGAACAGGAUUAGAUACCCUGGUAGUCCAUGCCGUAAACGAUGAGUGCUAAGUGUUGGGAGGUUUCCGCCUCUCA
rnacentral:rRNA from 1 species